GACGAACUGUGCAAACGUUAUUCGGAAUCACUGGGCUUGAAGAGUGCGUAGGCGGUUUUGUAAGUAGGGUGUGAAAGCCCCCGGCUCAACCGGGGAAUUGCGCCCUAAACUGGCGAGCUGGAGUGAGAUAGGGGUGUGUGGAACUUCCGGUGGAGCGGUGAAAUGUGUUGAUAUCGGAAGGAACGCCGGUGGCGAAAGCGACACACUGGGUCUCAACUGACGCUGAGGCACGAAAGCCAGGGGAGCGAACGGG
rnacentral:rRNA from 1 species